GAGGAAAAGCAACUAACCAGGAUUCCCCCAGUAACGGCGAGCGAAGCGGGACGAGCUCGAGCAGGCAAUCUCUGGCGUAGAUCGUCAGCGAAUUGUGGCCGGGAGAGGCGGGUGCACCCGAGGCGCCUCCGCCGAAGUUGACCUGGAAAGGCACGUCGGAGAGGGUGAUAACCCCGUGCGCGGCGGAGGUACCGAAGGCCGCUACCGUCUUCCGAGAGUCGGGUUGUUUGAGAUUGCAGCCCAAAUGGGGUGGUAAACUCCAUCUAAAGCCGAACAGCGGCACGAGACCGAUAGCGAACAAGUACCAUGAGGGAAAGGUGAAAAGCACUUUGGAAAGAGAGUUAAAGAGACCGCGAAACCGUUAGGAGGGAAACGCAUGCAGCCGAACUGGCCUUCGUCGGGUUCAGGGGGCCGCGGCAGUCCCCGUCGUGCCGAGCGCCACCCUCGCGGGGGUCGUCGGCUCGAAGAGGUCUCCGCGCCCCUGCACUCUCGGCGGUGUGGGCCGGCCAAGGGCGGUGGUGUCCGCGGCGA
rnacentral:rRNA from 1 species